UGCCAGCCGCCGCGGUAAUACAGAGGGUGCGAGCGUUGUUCGGAAUCACUGGGCGUAAAGCGCGUGUAGGCGGUUUCGUUAGUCGGAUGUGAAAGCCCCGGGCUCAACCUGGGAACUGCAUCCGAUACUGCGGAACUAGAGUCCCGGAGGGGGUGGUGGAAUUCCUGGUGUAGAGGUGAAAUUCGUAGAUAUCAGGAGGAACACCUGUGGCGAAGGCGACCACCUGGACGGGCACUGACGCUGAGACGCGAAAGCGUGGGGAGCAAACAGGAUUAGAUA
rnacentral:rRNA from 1 species